rnacentral:rRNA from 1 species
GUGCCAGCAGCCGCGGUAAUACGUAGGUGGCGAGCGUUGUCCGGAAUCAUUGGGCGUAAAGGGAGCGCAGGCGGGCAUGUAAGUCUUUCUUAAAAGUGCGGGGCUCAACCCCGUGAUGGGAAAGAAACUAUAUGUCUUGAGUACAGGAGAGGAAAGCGGAAUUCCCAGUGUAGCGGUGAAAUGCGUAGAUAUUGGGAGGAACACCAGUGGCGAAGGCGGCUUUCUGGACUGCAACUGACGCUGAGGCUCGAAAGCCAGGGGAGCGAACGGGAUUAGAUACCCCGGUAGUCCUGGCCAUAAACGAUGGAUACUAGGUGUGGGAGGUAUCGACCCCUACCGUGCCGGAGUUAACGCAAUAAGUAUCCCGCCUGGGGAGUACGGCCGCAAGGCUGAAACUCAAAGGAAUUGACGG